GUAGGUGGCAAGCGUUGUCCGGAAUUAUUGGGCGUAAAGCGCGCGCAGGCGGUUCUUUAAGUCUGAUGUGAAAGCCCACGGCUCAACCGUGGAGGGUCAUUGGAAACUGGAGAACUUGAGUACAGAAGAGGAAAGCGGAAUUCCACGUGUAGCGGUGAAAUGCGUAGAGAUGUGGAGGAACACCAGUGGCGAAGGCGGCUUUCUGGUCUGUAACUGACGCUGAGGCGCGAAAGCGUGGGGAGCGAACAGGAUUAGAUACCCUGGUAGUCCACGCGUAAACGAUGAGUGCUAAGUGUUAGGGGGUUUCCGCCCCCCUUAGUGCUGCAGCUAACGCAUUAAGCACUCCGCCCUGGGAUACGGCCGCAAGGCUG
rnacentral:rRNA from 1 species